UACGUAGGCAGCGAGCGUUGUUCGGAGUUACUGGGCGUAAAGAGUGCGUAGGCGGUUUUCUAAGUUUGGUGUGAAAUCUCCCGGCUUAACUGGGAGGGUGCGCCGAAGACUGGAAGGCUUGAGUAUGGGAGAGGUAAGCGGAAUUCCUGGUGUAGCGGUGGAAUGCGUAGAGAUCCGGAGGAACACCAGCGGCGAAGGCGGCAUCCUGGACUGGUCCUGACACUCAGGAGCGAAAGCGUGGGGAGCGAUCCGG
rnacentral:rRNA from 1 species